UCAGAACGAACGCUGGCGGCAGGCUUAACACAUGCAAGUCGAGCGCCCCGCAAGGGGAGCGGCAGACGGGUGAGUAACGCGUGGGAAUUUGCCCUAUGGUACGGAAUAACUCAGGGAAACUUGAGCUAAUACCGUAUGUGUCCUUCGGGAGAAAGAUUUAUCGCCAUAGGAUGAGCCCGCGUCCGAUUAGCUAGUUGGUGUGGUAAUGGCGCACCAAGGCGACGAUCGGUAGCUGGUCUGAGAGGAUGAUCAGCCACACUGGGACUGAGACACGGCCCAGACUCCUACGGGAGGCAGCAGUGGGGAAUAUUGGACAAUGGGCGCAAGCCUGAUCCAGCCCAUGCCGCGUGAGUGAUGAAGGCCUUAGGGUUGUAAAGCUCUUUCGCCCGCGAGGAUAAUGACGGUAGCGGGAUAAGAAGCCCCGGCUAACUUCGUGCCAGCAGCUGC
rnacentral:rRNA from 1 species